rnacentral:lncRNA from 1 species
UGGAAAACUAAUUUUUCCCAGAGAAUUUCCAUUUAAGCCUCCUAGUAUUUACAUGAUAACCCCCAAUGGAAGAUUUAAGUGCAACACAAGGCUGUGUCUCUCCAUCACAGAUUUCCAUCCAGAUACAUGGAAUCCAGCGUGGUCCGUCUCCACCAUUCUAACAGGGCUCCUGAGCUUUAUGGUGGAGAAAGGCCCCACCCUGGGGAGCAUAGAGACAUCGGACUUCACGGUGAGGUGUGGCAGCGGCUCGCCCGGGGCCUUGUGGCACCGUGGCCUCCAACCUUUCAUCCUGGGCUGAUUGUGUCCUGAGACAUGAGACAGUUUCCUCUUGAGCAGAAAAAACAGCUGGCAGCACAGAGUCUAGUGUUUAAUUUAAAAGAUAAAGUCUUCUGUGAAUUAUUUCCUGAAGUUGUGGAG